ensembl:snoRNA
GUGCCAGAAAUGAUGAAUAUCUUCAUGUCUCUUCUCUGAUUGUUUAGUGAAGAGAGAUUUGUGAUAUCUGAUCUUCAUGCAC